CUCUCAGUUUUAGUCAAUAUUGGAGUAUUUCUGCUUGAAUUAUCUCUCAGUAGCAGGUACCAUGAGGCCAAGAAAGCAGGGCUGGCUUCACCUGUGUCUUCAGCUUCUCUCUCUGUCCUGAUGACUAACCUCAUUUCUGGACCAACGGGGGAGAAUGGCCUUCAGACUGUCUAGAAAAAGGAGGGAAGAUUUGAUGAGAAAGGGAAGGGAACUGGAAAGAAAAAUAGUGAUUAGGAAUGGGUGAAGGUCAAAGGGUACAGACCUACAGUUGGAAGAUGAUUAAGUUCUGGGGACAUAAUGUACAGCAUGUGACCAUAGUGAACACGAUGCAUUGUAUUUCUGGAAGUUGCUGAGAAAACAGUUAAUAGUUUUCAUCACACUGGCACCCUGUUAUAACUGAAGUGAUGGAUACAUUGAUUUAUCUUACUGUCGUAUCAUUUUGCAGUAUACACAUAUAUAAAACCUUCAUGCUGUAAACUCUAAACGUACAGUGUCCUAUACCAAUGCUGUCUCAAUCUAUUUUUAAAAACUGGUUGCAGCAGACAGGGUUAUAACCACCAUCAGAUUCUAUAUUCCUCCUCAGUCUAGAUGAUGGAGAGACCUCAGGAGAGACUUAAGGACCUUCCAUUUUCUUUUUUCCUCUGCCCCUAGCAAGCUGUGAAAUAUUCAACAUCCAAGACAUUUUCCCCCCUUGAUUCCAUAUUUCACUUUAAUUUAGCUCACAGCUUCCCCUGAGCUGUUUUUUAGCCUGGCUUCUAUGAGUGCCAAUCUGCAUGUGUGCAGUAACAUAGCAUUUGGCUGGAACAUGCCCCAAAGGGGUCGCUACCCAGAGUUCUGGGCAUCCUUUGCACAGCUCACUUCUCUGGAGGUCUGAGCUGAGCAAGUUCAGUCAGCCUCAGCAGCCCCCACACCACCUACUGUCUUCAUCCUUUGCUCGGUGAGAACUGUGUUCUUCUUGGGGUCACUUGUUUAACAUGCAGCAUGGAUAGUGUCUGCGGGCAGAAAGCCUGGACAAUGGUAGGGCUCACACCCAUCGUUUGCUUUCCCUGAGGAAGUCUAAUGCUGCCCUCUUUGCCACAAUUUGCACUUGUUUGUUGCAUAUACUAUGACCAGUUUUACAGCUGGUUUUGUCAGGAAUACUUGACCUGUACCAGGUAAUCAAUGAUGGCCAGAGGGCGAAAGCUGCAUUUUAAAUUCAAAUAUAUCUAAGUGUUUUUACUAUACCCCAAAAGGAUAAAAAAUUAGAGCUCCCCUUUAAAUUUUCUAUACUUGGAAGUAAAAUAAACCACCUUGUUUAAUACCUUUUACUCAUUGCAGAUGGAAUAAUAAUCCCUCCUGAAUGCUAAAGAAGUGAAAUAUUCAAUUUUAAAUACUUGUAAUUCCAUCAUACAACUUCAAGUGGUUGAAGUGGCAACCACCAUUUUUUUUUAAACAAUAGUCAAAGUUAACAUGAAAUAAUAAUUCAAUUAGUGAAAUAUCUAUAUCUGUUUAAAUUUCCCAAAGGACUCAUUAAAGAAGCAUUAUCUCUGUCAGGGACCUAAUUAUUUGUCUUCAUUUUCUAAGCAAUUUACCUUUCAUCUUUAAUCUUAGCUUUCUUGAGCUUUCUUCUCUUGAAUUUUUCAGUUUUAGGGAGCUCCAGUUAGGUCCUACCAUUCCUCUGCAUUUUCAUUUUCUGGGUUUCUUGUGCUUUUUUUCUUCAUUGCUCCUUUACAAUUAAUAUUGAUCACUUUUCACCUCUGGGAUAUUUAUAUCUCAAAAGUACAUCUUAUUGAGCAUCUUUCUAAUUAGCUCAAGUAUUUUCUUUAUGCCCUCUUCCUCAUGUUCAGGGGCAUCUGGCUAAGAGCCAGUUUUUAUAUACUGAAAAUCUGUUUUACGUGGCAUAAUUAAUAUUUUAUUUUUCAUUUAAAAAUUACUAGUACUGAUUCACUUAAAUUAUAAUUUUAGUAAGCAUACCUUUUUGCUUUAGGUUAUACAGUACAUAUUACUAUCUUUCCCUUUGAUCUUUAAACAGAGUACUGUCUGUCAAUCUUAGGAUUAAGCUCAUAAAGUUCUAAUAUGUAAUUUUAAUGUUCAAGGUUGACUUGAUUACAACCUGGAGGUAGUUUACUGCAUUUCUUUGGGGAUGUAGUAAAGUAUCAGAAUAGCUGCUGCUUUUUUCACUUUAAUGUCCUUCUUCCUGUGAGACAGGUGCUACUUUCCUCUUGUUCCUUUAUGUUCUUCCUCUCUCCCUCCCCCAUCCAUCUUUCCAUCUUCUUUUCUCCAUCUCAUUUAAGCUUUAACUAGUCCAUAAGGAAAUGUUCUGCUUUCUAAAAGUAAUGUGAAAAAAAUUGAGACACAAGUGUUGAUGAAGAUAUGCACUGAAUAAUUAAGAAAAUAGAAAAUCAAAACCAGUUUUGGUUUACGAUUGCAUGGUUGUAACUACCAUGAUAUAUUUUCUGCAAACUGAAACGAACAUUUAUGAUGAUGUUUUUUAAUGGCAUAAAAUCUGUCCAGGGUGAUACUAGUUCACAGGUUAGUAAAUCUGUUUCUAAUCAUCAAACCCAUUUUGCAGGUUAGACAAUACAGUUAAAAAUGUUGAAGCCAAAAAAUUAUGUAGGGAUAUAGAAAAUCUUAUUUUGUAAUAGAAUUAUUGUAAAACCAAGACACCAUUCCAACUUGAAAUUUUUCCUUCAUCCAAACACUUGAAUAAGGAAAAUUCUCGUCAUCUAAUCAAUGGAGUCUAUGCUGUGAUCACCAAUGGUUCUAUAUUAGUCCAGGAAAGCCAUUUUUCAUACAUGAUAAAACAAGAAAAACCUAUUUCAUCCAAAUACCCAUUUAUUUAUGUAUCUGCUUGUUCACUAACCCAUAUAUUUGGUUAAUAAAUAUUUAUUGCCAAAUGUUUUGUAAUAUGGUGACAACAUAACAGAGAACCUAAUAAACUUUCUCUGCCUGCCCUUAAUGAACUUUCCAUUAUAAUAAACUAUAGAAAGAGAGGAGUUGUUCAUCCACAUAGAAGGGAUAUGAUCUUAUCUCAAAAUCAUUAACAUUUUAGUAAUUAAUACUUUUUUUUCCCAAUCAUAAAAUCAAAUUAUAUAUUUUCUUAGAAUGCCCUGGAUUUAACACAUUCUGAUUAGGAAAUCUAGUUAAGGUCCAUAAUGUUCAUCACUGUCCCCAGGAAGGACAGUGAGAAUGCUUUUUAAAAAUCUCUAUGCUCUGAAUUUUUGAAGGUUGGCUCUCCAUCUGAGUAUGAGUGGUAGGUAUGAAUACAUAAGAACCCUCUUCAGCUCUCUUCUCUGAGAUGUGGGGAUGGGAUUUAGCAUAAAAUAAGCAGGUGUAGAUUCUAUAAGGAGUUUGAUACUCUUAGAAGUAGUAAGAGGCCCUUGAUAAUAGGUUUCAACACAAAUUUCUGAAGAAAUGUAAAGACAAAAAAGACCCUCUAGCAUGCUUAUUAUGACAUAGUGCUUCUUCAUUUAUUUGUGAACUUGAUAAAAGAAUAAAAAUGUAUGAGUUCCCUUGUGUUGCAGAAGGUUAAGGAUCUGGCAUUGUCACUACUGUGGCAUGGAUUUGAUCCCUGGCCA
rnacentral:lncRNA from 1 species